UUCAAAAUGAAACCCUAGCCUUCAAACAAUUUUCAGCUCUAGCCGCCGCACGAGCAAACUGGUUCGUCCGCGCGAGUGCCAGCAGUCUUCGAUGCCAGAUCCACACGCUCCAUCUCCAGGCUGGAUAGGCACCUGCAACAAACAAACUCAAGAGAAACAAAAACAAACAAUACCCAUGGAAAAAAACAAAAACGGAUAACAAAC
rnacentral:lncRNA from 1 species